AGUGGUGGAUCUCACAUAGACCCUAGAAUGCACAGAUUCCUCUGUGUCAUCACUGCUCCAAAGGAACCCUCUUCCUCCUUGCCAUAAUGUCAGUGACUCCACUGUUUACAUCAAUCUUCUGUUUUUCUGGCUGUGCUGACUUCUCUGCCUACUCAGACUUUACUGGUUGAAAAAAAAAUCUAGCAGCCUAGAAGAGCAAACCAAAGAGCAAGAAAAGAAAUUUUGUCUCCACAUAGCUUUUGUGUCUCUGAUUUUGAAAAUGUUCCCCCUCAGAUAAAGAACCAAGGGACCAAUAGGAGUUGAGGAAAUGCACUUUGUUCUUUCAAAAUCUGCACAACAGAGACAGGGCGCUGAGAGACAAGGCUGGGUCCUAAAAUGAGAAGACAUGAAGAGCAGAGAGCCAGGCCCUGGAGCAGAAGCACAGCUGAUCAGUUGCCUAUAUGUGACAUGAGAGAGAAAUAUUGGUGGGGAAAUCUACUCAGAUUUCUUCUUUUAC
rnacentral:lncRNA from 1 species